UAGAAACACUAGGGGUGCCUAUAGGCUGAGAAGAGUACUACUCUAACCCUUAACCUGAUUGGGAUAAUGCCUGCGUAGGGAAGUGGAAGACUAAGAUG
rnacentral:ncRNA from 2 species